rnacentral:rRNA from 1 species
UGCGUAGGUGGUCCGUUAAGUCUGAUGUGAAAGCCCUGGGCUCAACCUGGGAAUUGCAUUGGAUACUGGCGGGCUGGAGUGCGGUAGAGGGUAGUGGAAUUCCCGGUGUAGCAGUGAAAUGCGUAGAUAUCGGGAGGAACAUCCGUGGCGAAGGCGACUGCCUGGACCAGCACUGACACUGAGGCACGAAAGCGUGGGGAGCAAACA